AGUUUGAUCAUGGCUCAGGAUGAACGCUAGCGGGAGGCCUAACACAUGCAAGCCGAGCGGUAGAGAUUCUUCGGAAUCUUGAGAGCGGCGUACGGGUGCGGAACACGUGUGCAACCUACCUUUAUCUGGAGGAUAGCCUUUACGAAAGGAAGAUUAAUACUCCAUAAUAUAUUGAUUGGCAUCAAUUGAUAUUGAAAGCUCCGGCGGAUAGAGAUGGGCACGCGCAAGAUUAGUUAGUUGGUGAGGUAACGGCUCACCAAGACGAUGAUCUUUAGGGGCCUGAGAGGGUGAUCCCCCACACUGGUACUGAGACACGGACCAGACUCCUACGGGAGGCAGCAGUGAGGAAUAUUGGUCAAUGGGUGCAAGCCUGAACCAGCCAUCCCGCGUGAAGGACGACUGCCCUAUGGGUUGUAAACUUCUUUUGUAUAGGGAUAAACCUACCCUCGUGAGGGUAGCUGAAGGUACUAUACGAAUAAGCACCGGCUAACUCCGUG
rnacentral:rRNA from 1 species